AACUCUCAACGAUGGAUGCCUCGGCUCGAGAAUCGAUGAAGGACGCAGCGAAGUGCGAUAAGCACUGCGAUUUGCAGAAUUCCGUGAACCAGUAGAAAUCUCAACGCAUAC
rnacentral:rRNA from 1 species